rnacentral:lncRNA from 1 species
GGUGUAAACCCUUGGACACAAGCGCUAGCUAAAGCCCGAUGGACAGAAAAGGCAGACUCUUAUCCAAAGUGAGAAAGCCGUCCCGCUUUGCAUGGGGGCUCCCACUGCACAUCUGGCACCCACCUCACAGGUGAACCUUCCCGCUCCUAAAUGAUGACUGGUAAGAAAAACAAGAUGUCUUUCUUGGUUAUAAAUUUAACUCUUCUAUGAUUA